AAGUCGUAACAAGGUUUCCGUAGGUGAACCUGCGGAAGGAUCAUUAAUGAAUUUGUCUUCGGACAUUCUCUCAUACACUUGUGAACUUACACUGUUGCUUGGUGGAGUGUGGUCUAGCGAUAGGCCUGCCACCGAGAUUUUUUCACUCAUCCUAUGUCUGAACAAUAAACAAAAACAAAACAAAACUUUCAACAAUGGAUCUCUUGGCUCUG
rnacentral:misc_RNA from 1 species